UCUGAAGUGGUGUGGUCCAUUUUGCAAUCUCACAGAAUUGGUACCACACGGUUCUGCUCCACGUGUAGCCCUGGCCCUUGUGAGGGGUAGCCAGCUUGCUAGCUAGCUGUAUUGGGCCUGGGCAGAAUUUCAUCCUGUCAGCCAGUUGCCAUGGCAGGAGGAUAGAAAGCCAGGGGAGGAAAUGUUCCAGACACAUAGGGAUGGCAGCCAUUGCAUAUGCAAAUUUGUAACUUUUAAAAAUGAUUAUAUUUACAUAAUUUAAUUUAAAUGCUGUUUUGAAAGGUACAGAGUUGAAUAAAUAGAAAUUAGUAAUUAAGCAAUGGCAAUAUCCUAAACUGUGUUUUGAUGUGUGGAUAUACAAUGCCGGGAUACGUUACUCAUCCCUUUGUAUUUUGAGAAUUUGUUUUUCUAAGCGCCUUGCUGAGUCACCAUGUUCUCAACCGACUGCCACACGUUCUGGAAGUUUCUGUCCAGAAGCCUUGAUACAAACUUGAUCCAUUCAGUUGUAGCAUUGCUUCAAAAACAGGGACUAGGCCCUAUAUUUCCUAAGGGUUUCAGUCCAAGAUAGAAUUCACAUAUUUAUCUGUGUAAGCUAUAUCUAAAUACCAAUGCAAUUUGCCUAACCCUGCUUUGAAGUCAUUCAAAUUGGAACUUUAUUAACUACAAACCCUGAAAUCUGGGAUCCCCUCCAAAAUGCUGCCGAAGUUUUGCAGUUCUUUAGCAGGGUUUUGCAGCACAAAUCCCAGUUUUUGCAAUGCCCUGGACCAUGUUGGGUUUUGGGGUAAUAGCUAUGACCCGCAGUUUAAUUACUCAGUUGAGUGGGGGGCACUUCAAAAUGCAGGGUUCUCACUGCAAAACUAUUGCAAAACUUUGGCACCAGUUUGGAGUAAGUCACACACUCUUGGUUUUUGGAGUCUGUAGAAUCAGCCAGCACCUGAGUUCAAUCAGCAGUAGAUAAAUAGGUAGAUAGAUGCACACAUUUCAAUCAAAGGUAACUUUUAUCCAUCUGUAAUGACUGCCCAUUUCUACGAAGGGAGAAGGUUUUAUCAGCUUUACAUGAACUCAUGUCGGCUUCCCUCUUGGGCAAGGACUUGUCGUCUGCUCCCUCCCACUUAAUGCUCUGUAAAGAACUUAGUUUAUUUUAAGUGUAAUAAUAAUUACACUGUGGCAAGGAGUAUUAUUGUACUGAGGACUACUCGUGGGGCUGGUGUAUGAAUGCUAGUAUUUGUAUAAUUUUAAUCUGCAAAGUGUUUUUGGUUUUUUUAAACCUUUUCUACUGUUUCUGAAGAGAUAACCAUGUCAGUCUGUUAGGAACAUUGGAAGCUGCCUUAUACUGAGUCAGGCCAUCGGUCCAUUUAACUCAGUAUUGCCUACACGGACUGGCAGCAACCCUCCAGGAUUUCAUACCAAAGCCUCUCUCUCAUCCCUACCUGUUAUUUUGAACUGUUUUAAAUGUUGUGUUUUAAUCGUUAUACCCUGCCUUGGGACCUUCAGGUUGAAGGGUGGGUAAUAAAUUGUAAUAAUAUUAGUACCUGAAAAUGCUGGAGAUUUGAACCUGACACCUUCUGCAUGCAAAGCAGAUGUUCUGCUCCUGAGUUAUGGCUCUAUCUGCUGGUUGCAGCAAGAACAACCAAGUGCCACCUUCAAGUUUAACAAAUCAGCACGUUUUUUGCCAUAAUGAGUGUGUUAGUCUUAGGAAGCCACCUUUUGUUGAUUUCACUUUUGUGAUGUUUCUCAACAAACCUGUGUGCUGGAACAUACCAGUUGCAGCUUCUUGCCAUAGAAGAGACAGAACUUUAAUCCAGGGUUCUAUAUCCCAAAUCCUAUUUCUAUGCCCAGAUAGUCACAAGUCCUACAUUUACCUUCUUUCUUUUCUUUUACCUUCCCAGGUUUUCAUUAUCCUGUUCCUUUAGUUAGUACAAUGGUCUUCAGCUGUUGGGUUGACUGACUGGGUCACAGCCUGAACUAAGGAUUUGUGCUCCCUUGGAGAACUGAAGACACAGUGGAUUUAAGAAAUCUGAUUUAUUCAAUCUGCAUGGAGGGAGUCCAGAUCAAACAGCAUGGUCAUCUCAAGCAGGGCUGGUUUCCCACAGCUGUACAGCACUGAAGUCAAAAGGCAUUUCUCCUAGCCAGCCUUCAGCCAGCUUUCCCAAGAUGGAGGGAGGAGCAAAAUGGUACCGGAAACUUACACACUCGUGCGUUUGCUCUAAGCAAUGAUUUGACUUAGUGUGACAAGAAAUAAUUUCCUAAUUGCAUUAACAGGAGCUUCCCUCUCACUGCCAAUAGCAGGUGGGGGUGAUAUGGUAGAGCAAAGGAUUAUGGGUGAAACCCCAACCACAGCAAAUUCUUUCCAGGAGUAUAAAUGUUAAAAUGAAUGGGCAAAAUGUGAGAAUGCAGCACCAAAAAUAAGUGCGCCUUUUGGUCUUGCGCGAUGGCGAGCCCAGCACACAGGACCGAAAUGGAACAUCCAGGAUGGAAUCAGAAUCCAGAAGGGCUUCUGCCAUUCUGGGAUGUCCUGCUUAAGAUGGGACAGUCGCAAGUGUGUGAUAUACCUAACUCUGGUUUUUUAAUGGUAUAUCUGUGCACAUUCUGUAUAGUAUUAUAGGAUGCGUAUUUCUUUCUGGUGGUGGCUGAAAUGUCCAUGAUGGUCGACAAGACUUUUGUUAGCCCAAAGAUGGAAACAACAGGAGUUACCAACAAAAGAAGAGUAGCAGAUGAAGGUGAUGGACUUUGCAGAACUGACAAAACUGACGGGAAGAAUACGGAACCAGCGAGACCAAGCAUUCCAAAAGGGCUGGAACAAAUUUGUAUUAUAUUUGAAAGACAACUGUAACCAAUUAACAUCAUUAGCAGGGUUAUCUGAAGAUCUGUAAGAUGAAAUUGCUACCUAUUCAGGUUGAGUAAUAUAAUAUUUCAGGUAACGCUACAACAAGGAUAGGAAACCAAGCGAAAUGUAAAGAUGUAAAGUUUAAUUUUGUAAACCAUCAGACGGGAGGGAGGGAAGUCGGCUCAGUUGAGCCAAAGAGAUAAAAUAAGAGGGUACGUUGUUACGUAAUAUGAUUACAUGUAAAAUGAAUAAAAAUCAUUUAUAAAAAAGAAAAGGAAAGACCAUGAUGGUCAUAGCAACAAAUAAAACUGAAUCGAUAUAACACCUGUUAUAAAAUGGCUGCACUGCUUGCCAGAUCGUUUCCAGGUUCUAAAUGACUCAGGCCCCACAUGCCUGAAAGACAGACUCCUUCCAGACAGACCCUUCCUCUUGAUAAUUCAUUAUCAUUAUGGUGAGGGUGGCCCAGGAGACGGCAUUCUCUGUGGUAACCCCUAAACUGUGGAACUUUGUCCCAACAGAGGUGUUUCCGGUACCUUCAUUAUGCAGCUUCUUUUAAAAAAAUGUUUUUUUAAAAAAAUUCAGAAUUAUAACAAGACAUAUUAUCCAAAAACAUAUC